GAGGGUUAAGCAGGAAUGGUUUAAUGGUAGCCACACUGGCCUUUUAUGCAAGUUCCCAAGCAAGGGUAACACCCACAUGGACCUUGUUGGGGACAGGGACACAAACAUACACCAAUGAUAAUCCCACAUACAAUACAAUAAGCCUUCCCCUUAGGAGAUAAUUGAGUCAAGUACUAUACUAAACUCAAUUAUCGCCAUCACAAAAAACAACAACAUUUUUACAAAAUCCCCACAAAUGUUACAUCCCCCAAUAGCCCUGAUCUGGGUGACCAACAUAUCCAAAAAUCACCCAGAUCAGUUCAGGGGUUCAGAAAUUUUAUGGAAGUCAUUUAUUUGACCAACUGCAGGCAUGGUCCCAUGCCCAAAACAGUUCCAGAAAAUUAGGGCUUGCGGUCGAUCUAGUUUGGUAGUUUGAAAACUAAAACUACCGAACAGAGUCAAUAGUCUUACCCCAGAGCUUGUUACCUUCAUCCAGACGAAUUAUGUCACCGAACAGUGCCCACCUCAGCUUAAUAGAAACGAACACAGGUGAUGAUGGAAGUCCAGCGGUGUUCGGGAGUUUCUGUAUCCAAUUUUAGUUCCAGGAGAUUCGUGCCCAAACAACGCUGCCUGCAUUCAGUGAUUUAAACCAAGUCUUAUCACCGGGGCAGUAGCCAUGGGGUAAGAGGCUUUCAAGUAUGCCCCCCCCAAGAACCUGUGACACACAUUUCUAUCUACCUAUUUCCAUCUAUGUAUCUAUCCAUUUCUGUGUAUCUAUUUCUAUCUAUCCAUUUAUUUGUAUCUAUUUCUAUCUAUUCAUUUCUCUCUCUAUCCAUCCAUCUUUCUAUCUAUCUCACACACACACUCUCACACACUAACUCACUCUUACUCACUCUCUCAAUCACACACUCACUCUCAAUUUUUUAAAUAAGUUUACUUACUUUUUGAAGGUAGUAGCUCCUCCUGCUCUGUCGCCUGCCUUCUGUGCAGGAGAUCGUCAUCUCCCACACUGGGCUCUGAUUGCUGACAGGCUCCGGGUUACUACAGGAGAUAGGAGGCGCGUUCACAGUGCCUCCUGAUAGCACGUUUGAUGUCUUCAUCCACGCGUGAAGACAUUAAACGUGAUAAAUUCGACUUAGGCAUUCAUGAACCCGGAAGUCCCUCUGGUGGCAGUCUGAGUGACUGCCACUGAAGGUGUUCCUAGCUUCCAAUGUAAACACUGUAUUUUUUCAGAAAAUACAGUGUUUACAUGAGAAAGGCUGCAGGGAGCUAAUAUUCUCACCUGAACAACCUCAUUAAGCUGAAGUUGUUCAGGUGACUAUAGUGUCCCUUUAAAGUUUAUAUUAUUAAAGGGACACUCCAUGCUCCCAUACACGUUAGGUGCAUUGUGUAGGUUAGGUUACAGUUAUACUGGGUGGGUUUAGAUUAUUAAAGGGACACUCCAGGCUCCCACACACGUUAGGUGCACUGUGUAGGUUAGGUUAUAGUUAGUUAUACUGGGUGGGUUUAUAUUAUUAAAGGGACACUCCAGGCUCCCACACACGUUAGGUGCACUGUGUAGGUUAGAUUACAGUUAUACUAGGUGGGUUUAUAUUAUCAAAGGGACACUCCAGGCUCCUACACACGUUAGAUGCACUGUGUAGGUUAGGGUACAGUUAGUUAUACUGGGUGAAUUUAUAUUAUUAAAGGGACACUCCAUGCUC